UACAGAGGUCCCAAGCGUUGUUCGGAUUCACUGGGCGUAAAGGGUGCGUAGGUGGCUGGAAAAGUUUGAUGUGAAAGCUCAGGGCUUAACCCUGAAAUGGCAUUGAAUACUGUCGAGCUGGAGGUUUGGAGGGGGGACUGGAAUUCUUGGUGUAGCAGUGAAAUGCGUAGAUAUCAGGAGGAACACCGGUGGCGAAGGCGGGUCUCUGGGCCGAUACUGACGCUGAGGAGCGAAAGCGUGGGGAGCGAACAGG
rnacentral:rRNA from 1 species